GUUCUAUUGUUCUAAUUUGUGAACACUUUUAUCAUGAGGGAAUUCAUUUUGAUUUACUAGUUCCACUGAAGUGGCUGUCGGAAAGUCUCUUGCUAAGACGGAUGGAGCCAAGAUGAACAUACAGUCCUAGACCUGAAGGAAGACAAUUUCAUUUUAGUUGCCAGAUAAGAUGAUGUGGCGUCCAAGGAUCAGACAGACAGAUAGAGGAGCCCAGAAGAAAGUUCAGCACUAGACCUGAUGGAAAAUUGUUUCAUUUUAUUUGCCAGAUAAUAAUGAUACAAAAAGAGCAUAGACACAGAAAAUUGUGCCAUUGAUAAAGAUCUGGAAAGAAGCUUAAAGAAAGGACCAAGUGUCAGUCGGGAUGGCAUAUGAGUAGCAACUCCAUGGAAGAUGUUUACUUAGAUCAGCAACCAAAUCCAAGGCUUUGCCAUGUAAGCAAUCAAGCAGCAAGGAUGGCAGCUGGAAUGAAGAUUAAAUAUUACAUUGAUCUUCAACCAAGUCUGAGGCUUUGUCAUGAAAGAA